AAGGCUGGCUAAGUGCUAUAACUAUCAUGACCACGAACACGUGAUAAAAAUUAACCCUCAAACUUGAGUUACGAGUUGCUCGAGUCCACCAGGAUCUUUUCAUAUUGCUAUUUUCCGUUUAUUUGUUUCUAAUGGAGUUGGUUUUAUUGUUUAUAUAAACAGUAAAACAGGUUAAUAAAUUAUUUUAAUUGCUUAGUUAACAAUUAAAUGUUGUAGCAUAUAGUGAUUAAUAUAUUAUUUAAAUCAUUCAAUUAACAAAUAUGUGAAGUGGCUCAAAUUAUUACAUAGACUAUAGACCGACCUCUAAUUCCUAUAAUGAUGCAAUGGGAGCUUAUGGCUGGAAAAGAAUCAAUUUAGAGAGCCCCUUCCGGCUUCAAUGGUAACUAGAUCAUCUUUAGGUACCUAUAAUGAGAUUUAUAAACACUAUCUAAUUGUAAGUGUUUGUGCGUGUAAAUUCUUUCUAUAUAAAUUUAAACCACUAUUGGUCAUAUUCAAGAAAUGGAAGAAGCUAUACGAGGUUUUUGCCAACAGUACCUAAUCUAUUCGUACAGAUCUAAGCUAAGUGAUACAUGACAUUGUAACGAAAAUAUCUAAAUAAAUGUCUUAUUCUUUUCAAUAAUCCAUAUUUGUAGCAAUCAAAUACUAUUCUUACUCCCCAAAUUGAUUAAUGAUUGGUUACAAAUUUCUAUGAUCUAUAUUCUCUCUGAAUAGAAAGGAAUAAAGUUAUAAAACACACGAAAUAUCUUGCCUAUGAAUUAUUGAAAAAUGUAUCAACAUAAAUACGAUAGUAAACCCAGCUACAAGUCUAACACUAAGAUACAAGGAUCCCAAUGCCGUUAGGUUUAGAAAAGGAAACCAAAUUAGCCUCGCAUUAGGCCACCAUAUCCUCCAACAAGGGAUCGCAGAACAAUGCCUUGACAAUCCAUAAUUUUUCACCAUCAGAACAUUCACCAUUUGCGAGAUAUCAUCCCUAAAUUUUGAUAUCCUAAAGCACCUUUUCCUGAGAGACAAGUUUCCCUAGAAAAGCUAUAACAUAGCAUUUGGUUGUUUGUAAAAUAGUGGCAUGCUGUGUAAUUGGGAAGGUUUCUACGAUGAGUAAAUCACAAUGAUUCUACAAAAAUUCAAUUCCAGGUGGGACUCCACUUCUAUGUCAGUAUCAUGCUCACCGCAACCUACUAACCCUUGAUAACAUCUCUUACAUCACAGUUAAAUUAUAUUUUAUAGAAAAUACACUCCAAGUUCAUUGGAUAAACUUAUUUUAAGCCUAGCAUAGAUAUAAGGUUUACAAAUCUAAUUCCCUUACAGCCAUACUAUUACAUAUGUGAAAGUUACUGUAUCAAUACGGUGAGGGGUAGUAGGAUAGCAGAUGUUUCCAACUAAAACACCCAAGACUGGCACCGUUCAACAGGUAUUAAGAUUAAGACAUGUGUUUUCUUGGCAAUUACAGACUAUACAUUAAUCAUGCAACUGCUUCUAUCUCAUUGAAGACACAUGUUAGUUUGGCAACCCAGUAGGAAACACUCAUGUUGCUUGUUCUUGCAUAUGCCUCCAUCCAAAAUCAGAAACCAGAAUAUAAGUAAACAUACAAAAAGAUAUCUCACGGAAAAAUAUUUAAGCAAAAAUAUGAUCUUCUCAGAGACAACGCAUCGAGAAAUAUCCAACCAGCAAAAACAAAACAGAGUUCAA